AUCAGGUAGGAAUACCCGCUGAACUUAAGCAUAUCAAAGCGGGGGAGGAA
rnacentral:rRNA from 1 species